rnacentral:rRNA from 1 species
AACGAACGCUGGCGGCAGGCUUAACACAUGCAAGUCGAACGCACCUUUCGGGGUUAGUGGCCGACGGGUGAGUAACGCGUGGGAAUCUACCCUUCUCUACGGGAUAGCUCCGGGAAACUGGAAUUAAUACCGUAUACGUCCUGAGGGAGAAAGAUUUAUCGGGGAAGGAUGAGCCCGCGUUGGAUUAGCUAGUUGGUGGGGUAAAGGCCUACCAAGGCGACGAUCCAUAGCUGGUCUAAGAGGAUGAUCAGCCACAUUGGGACUGAGACACGGCCCAAACUCCUACGGGAGGCAGCAGUGGGGAAUAUUGGAAAAUGGGCGCAAGCCUGAUCCAGCCAUGCCGCGUGAGUGAUGAAGGCCCUAGGGUUGUAAAGCUCUUUCAGUGGGGACGAUAAUGACGGUACCCACAGAAGAAGCCCCGGCUAACUUCGUG